rnacentral:rRNA from 1 species
CUCCCUAACCAAGAGGACAACAUUCACUGGAACUUAACCACCUCGGGGGCAUACUCUGCUGCCUCUGCCUAUGGUGCACAAUUCUUUGGCUCCUACUCACGUUUCGACACGACCAAGGUCUGGUCCGCAAACGCUGAGCCCAAAUGCAAGUUCUUUGCUUGGCUAGCUCUACACGGAAGAAUCCUCACCGCGGAUAUGCUGGCUGUGAGGGGAUGGCCUCACGACCUGUCACACCCACGAUGCGGCUAUAUCUCCCACGUGUCGGGCACGACUUAG